rnacentral:rRNA from 2 species
AGAGUUUGAAUCCUGGCUCAGGACGAACGCUGGCGGCGUGCCUAAUACAUGCAAGUCGAACGAACUCUGGUAUUGAUUGGUGCUUGCAUCAUGAUUUACAUUUGAGUGAGUGGCGAACUGGUGAGUAACACGUGGGAAACCUGCCCAGAAGCGGGGGAUAACACCUGGAAACAGAUGCUAAUACCGCAUAACAACUUGGACCGCAUGGUCCGAGCUUGAAAGAUGGCUUCGGCUAUCACUUUUGGAUGGUCCCGCGGCGUAUUAGCUAGAUGGUGGGGUAACGGCUCACCAUGGCAAUGAUACGUAGCCGACCUGAGAGGGUAAUCGGCCACAUUGGGACUGAGACACGGCCCAAACUCCUACGGGAGGCAGCAGUAGGGAAUCUUCCACAAUGGACGAAAGUCUGAUGGAGCAACGCCGCGUGAGUGAAGAAGGGUUUCGGCUCGUAAAACUCUGUUGUUAAAGAAGAACAUAUCUGAGAGUAACUGUUCAGGUAUUGACGGUAUUUAACCAGAAAGCCACGGCUAACUACGUGCCAGCAGCCGCGGUAAUACGUAGGUGGCAAGCGUUGUCCGGAUUUAUUGGGCGUAAAGCGAGCGCAGGCGGUUUUUUAAGUCUGAUGUGAAAGCCUUCGGCUCAACCGAAGAAGUGCAUCGGAAACUGGGAAACUUGAGUGCAGAAGAGGACAGUGGAACUCCAUGUGUAGCGGUGAAAUGCGUAGAUAUAUGGAAGAACACCAGUGGCGAAGGCGGCUGUCUGGUCUGUAACUGACGCUGAGGCUCGAAAGUAUGGGUAGCAAACAGGAUUAGAUACCCUGGUAGUCCAUACCGUAAACGAUGAAUGCUAAGUGUUGGAGGGUUUCCGCCCUUCAGUGCUGCAGCUAACGCAUUAAGCAUUCCGCCUGGGGAGUACGGCCGCAAGGCUGAAACUCAAAGGAAUUGACGGGGGCCCGCACAAGCGGUGGAGCAUGUGGUUUAAUUCGAAGCUACGCGAAGAACCUUACCAGGUCUUGACAUACUAUGCAAAUCUAAGAGAUUAGACGUUCCCUUCGGGGACAUGGAUACAGGUGGUGCAUGGUUGUCGUCAGCUCGUGUCGUGAGAUGUUGGGUUAAGUCCCGCAACGAGCGCAACCCUUAUUAUCAGUUGCCAGCAUUAAGUUGGGCACUCUGGUGAGACUGCCGGUGACAAACCGGAGGAAGGUGGGGAUGACGUCAAAUCAUCAUGCCCCUUAUGACCUGGGCUACACACGUGCUACAAUGGAUGGUACAACGAGUUGCGAACUCGCGAGAGUAAGCUAAUCUCUUAAAGCCAUUCUCAGUUCGGAUUGUAGGCUGCAACUCGCCUACAUGAAGUCGGAAUCGCUAGUAAUCGCGGAUCAGCAUGCCGCGGUGAAAUACGUUCCCGGGCCUUGUACACACCGCCCGUCACACCAUGAGAGUUUGUAACACCCAAAGUCGGUGGGGUAACCUUUUAGGAACCAGCCGCCUAAGGUGGGACAGAUGAUUAGGGUGAAGUCGUAC